ACGACUCUCGGCAACGGAUAUCUCGGCUCUCGCAUCGAUGAAGAACGUAGCGAAAUGCGAUACCUGGUGUGAAUUGCAGAAUCCCGUGAACCAUCGAGUCUUUGAACGCAAGUUGCGCCCGAGGCCACUCGGUCGAGGGCACGCCUGCCUGGGCGUCACGC
rnacentral:rRNA from 1 species